rnacentral:rRNA from 1 species
UACGAAGGGGGCUAGCGUUGCUCGGAAUCACUGGGCGUAAAGCGCACGUAGGCGGCUUUUUAAGUCAGGGGUGAAAUCCUGGAGCUCAACUCCAGAACUGCCUUUGAUACUGAGAAGCUUGAGUCCGGGAGAGGUGAGUGGAACUGCGAGUGUAGAGGUGAAAUUCGUAGAUAUUCGCAAGAACACCAGUGGCGAAGGCGGCUCACUGGACCGGUAUUGACGCUGAUGUGCGAAAGCGUGGGGAGCAAACAGG